CUCCGCCCACAUUCCUAACUUGCCCUGCUGAGCGCCGCAGGCUUUGGCCAAUCGCUGCUACGUUACACGGCAAGUGGGAGAGAUUGUGGUCACUAUUGUUCUAUGACUAGUCCCUCCCCCUGGGAAACUCUCUGCAAACGCAGAAAGCAGGAAGUUGUUGUGUGAAGCAUGUCACACUUAUUUCUAGACCACACGGGAAUGCAGUACUAAAGAAGGGGUGGAACAGCAGAAAAAAACAAGAUGUGAUUGGCUAAGCCAAGAAUGUUUCAGAAGGAUGAAGUUAUUUAGCCUUGCAGAUCACGGUUGUGGAAUGACAGUGACAGAACUCACAUUUCUCCAUUCUUUAACUUUAAAUAACUUUGCUUCAUUAUAACGUGAGGCAACAUCUUAGCUCAUUUUCAUAUCUGUACUACCAAAAUAACAUUUUCUCUUAUUUUUUUUAGCAUUUUUUAACCAGCAGCUCUCAUCUUAGUGGUUUAACACACUGGGUGAUUUGAUCACAGUUUUUCCAUGGCAAUAAAAAACAUUAUUUUAACAGUAUCUUUUAAACUGAAAAAUGCUGUUAGUGCAGUUUCACAUUGAUAACAUUCAUUUGCACUCCCACAACAUAUUAGCACAGAGAUAUAUGAGGCAAGGUGACAGAUGUCCCUAUGUUUAAAGUGUAUUUGUAGGGACCUGUUAUCCAGAAUGCUUGGGACCUGGGUUUUUUUUAGAGCAGGGGUCUUUCCAUAAUGUGAAUCUCCAAGAAAAAGGAAGUCAUUUUUCAAAAUAAAAAUGUAUUAAAAUGGA